rnacentral:rRNA from 1 species
GAUGAACGCUGGCGGCGUGCCUAAUACAUGCAAGUCGAGCGAACGGACGAGAAGCUUGCUUCUCUGAUGUUAGCGGCGGACGGGUGAGUAACACGUGGAUAACCUACCUAUAAGACUGGGAUAACUUCGGGAAACCGUAGCUAAUACCGGAUAAUAUUUUGAACCGCAUGGUUCAAAAGUGAAAGACGGUCUUGCUGUCACUUAUAGAUGGAUCCGCGCUGCAUUAGCUAGUUGGUAAGGUAACGGCUUACCAAGGCAACGAUGCAUAGCCGACCUGAGAGGGUGAUCGGCCACACUGGAACUGAGACACGCUCCAGACUCCUACGGGAGGCAGCAGUAGGGAAUCUUCCGCAAUGGGCGAAAGCCUGACGGAGCAACGCCGCGUGAGUGAUGAAGGUCUUCGGAUCGUAAAACUCUGUUAUUAGGGAAGAACAUAUGUGUAAGUAACUGUGCACAUCUUGACGGUACCUAAUCAGAAAGCCACGGCUAACUACGUG